rnacentral:tRNA from 2 species
GCUCCGAUAGUGUAGUCCGGUCAAUCAUUUCGGUCUCUCGAGCCGAAGACCCGGGUUCGAAUCCCGGCCGGAGCA